rnacentral:misc_RNA from 1 species
GAUGAAGAACGUAGCGAAAUGCGAUAAGUAAUGUGAAUUGCAGAAUUCAGUGAAUCAUCGAAUCUUUGAACGCACCUUGCGCUCCUUGGUAUUCCGAGGAGCAUGCCUGUUUGAGUGUCAUGAAAUUCUCAACCUUUCUGGCUUUUGCUAGUCAGGCUUGGAUUAUGGGAGCUGCUGGCUUUUGAAGUCGGCUCUUCUAAAAUGUAUUAGCAAGAUCAUUGCUGCUCAUCAUUGGUAUGAUAAUUAUCUAUAUCAUUGAGAGUCAGUUUCCUUUAUUGGAAGAUUUUGCUCUAACGGUCUUUAGCAAGACAACAUUUGACGAUUUUGACCUCAAAUCAGGUAGGACUACCCGCUGAACUUAAGCAUAUCAAUAAGCGGAGGA